GCGGGAGUAGCCCAGUGGUUUAGGGUACUGUCUUCCCAUUGCUUUGCAUGCAAUUCACUUGCGUGUUUCUUUGAGCAAGGCAGGGGUCGGGGGUUCGAAUCCCUCCUUCCGCA